UACGUAGGGGGCAGGCGUUGUCCGGAUUUAUUGGGCGUAAAGCGCGUGUAGGCGGCCACGCAGGUCCGCUGUGAAAACUCGAGGCUCAACCUCGAGCUGUCGGUGGAAACCGCGUGGCUAGAGUCCGGAAGAGGCGAGUGGAACUCCUGGUGUAGCGGUGGAAUGCGCAGAUAUCAGGAAGAACACCGACGGCGAAGGCAGCUCGCUGGGACGGUACUGACGCUGAGGCGCGAAAGCGUGGGGAGCGAACAGG
rnacentral:rRNA from 1 species